CCAGUCUAAAAAUAACAUCUGCGUCAGUCAGUUGAGUUGAGCAGAAGAGGGUUCCAGGGACUCGUUUUUCGUCUGACUGUGAUCCAUGCAAUGUCUUCAGAUGGAUAUGGAACGACGAAGGGCACGACGUUGUUACACCCUACAUAGGACGUCUGAGUAACUCCUACGGAAGUAAGAAUAAGAGUUAGCUCACAGGAGAAAAAACGUCGUCUUUGCAUCACUCUUUUUGUAUACGAUCGCUAAUGGAGAGAGUUAAAGUCGUAUUGUUAUGGCAGAAGUCUGAUUCUUUUCACAACAAUCAGCUGAAUUCAGUAUGGCAAAGUGCUUAUCACAAAUAUCUGUAGAUUUGUACCGGCUCCAUCAUCAACGGUGAUUACUAUAUGAAAUCAAUUCAAAUUCAUUGAGCAAUGACAAUCUAUGUUCGAGAAAGGACCCUAACAAAUCAAAAGUGUCAGAAAUGAUAAAUCGUUACAAAUGAUGUUGAGCUACUUAUGAGUAGUGCUGUGAAAAAAAAACACACUUUAUCAAUAAAGCCAUCCUAACAUAA